rnacentral:rRNA from 1 species
CCCUUAGAUGUUCUGGGCCGCACACGCGCUACACUGAAGGAGGCAGCGUGUACUCCUGGAUCGAAAGAUUUGGGUAACCCGCGAAUCUCCUUCGUGCUAGGGAUUGGGGUUUGCAAUUAUCCUUCAUGAACGAGGAAUUCCCAGUAAGUGCAAGUCAUAAGCUUGCGCUGACUACGUCCCUGCCCUUUGUACACACCGCCCGUCGCUACUACCGAUUGAAUGAUUUAGUGAGGACUUCGGACUGGGACCGAUGCGGCUUUCGGGCUGCGUCGGUAUUCUGGAAAGAUGUCCAAACUGUAUCAUUUAGAGGAAGUAAAAGUCGUAGCA